UACGUAGGAGACGAGCGUUGUCCGGAGUUACUGGGCGUAAAGGGUGCGCAGGCGCCCUGCGCGUCGCGAGUCGAAUCUCCCGGCUCAACUGGGAGGGUGGUCGCGAGACGGCAGGGCUUGAGGCUCGGUGAGGGGCGUGGAAUUCCGGGUGGAGCGGUGAAAUGCGUAGAGAGUCCGGAGGAACACCAACGGCGUAGGCAGCGCCCUAGACGAGACCUGACGCUCGAGGCACGAAAGCGCGGGGAGCGAACAGG
rnacentral:rRNA from 1 species